GGGAUGUUAUUUUGGGCAGUGCAUCUGGACUUGGUUCAAGUGGCACCAGCCAAAUCCCUGCCUUACUGACCUCUCCCCUGGAGGAGCAGGAGCAGCGCUCAAGGCCGCCUUGGGAGGGCUGAGAGGCAGGCUCUGGACUGGGGACACAGGGAUAGCUGAGCCCCAGCUGGGGGUGGAAGCUGAGCCAGAGACAGUCACAGAGGAACAAGAUCAAGAUGCGCUUUAACUGAGAAGCCCCCAAGGCAGAGGCUGAGAAUCAGAAGACAUUUCAGCAGACCCUAGUGACCUCUCUUUGGCUCUUCAGCAUCUACAAAUCUGAAGGACAAAACAUGGUUCAAGCAUCUGGGCACAGGCGGCUGGAUUGUACCAGUGUCCUUUACUGCAGUGACUGAACAUUCUAGGCACAGUAGAUUCAAGAAAUCUUGAGUUCAUUGGCUGAACAUACAUAUGAUAGUUGAGAAAGACACAUAUUCUGAUCAUGAAGAAAUAAACACAAGUUAAAUAUGACUAAGCAGAAAGAUGGAAGGACCAGGAACGGUGAUGCUAACUUGGAACCACGAUGCAGGCUCUAAUCUCCUCUACAAUCAUCCUCCCUUGUGAGAAAAAUACAUAAGAUCUAAGGCACAUGAGAUGAUACGCUUUCUGUUUGAGUUUCUCCUUUAUGUUACGCAUACUGAUAAAAUUGUUGACGCCAGUUGAUCUGAAGGUCCCAGCAAGGAGCCGACUCACAGAAGAAUGCAGU
rnacentral:lncRNA from 1 species